rnacentral:rRNA from 1 species
GGUUAAGCGACUAAGCGUACACGGUGGAUGCCCUGGCAGUCAGAGGCGAUGAAGGACGUGCUAAUCUGCGAAAAGCGUCGGUAAGGUGAUAUGAACCGUUAUAACCGGCGAUGUCCGAAUGGGGAAACCCAGUGUGAUUCGUCACACUAUCGUUAACUGAAUACAUAGGUUAACGAGGCGAACCGGGGGAACUGAAACAUCUAAGUACCCCGAGGAAAAGAAAUCAACCGAGAUUCCCCCAGUAGCGGCGAGCGAACGGGGAGCAGCCCAGAGUCUGAAUCAGCUUGUGUGUUAGUGGAACGGUCUGGAAAGUCCGACGGUACAGGGUGAUAGUCCCGUACACCAAAAUGCACAGGUUGUGAACUCGAAGAGUAGGGCGGGACACGUGGUAUCCUGUCUGAAUAUGGGGGGACCAUCCUCCAAGGCUAAAUACUCCUGACUGACCGAUAGUGAACCAGUACCGUGAGGGAAAGGCGAAAAGAACCCCGGCGAGGGGAGUGAAAAAGAACCUGAAACCGUGUACGUACAAGCAGUGGGAGCACCUUCGGGUGUGACUGCGUACCUUUUGUAUAAUGGGUCAGCGACUUAUAUUCUGUAGCAAGGUUAACCGUAUAGGGGAGCCGCAGGGAAACCGAGUCUUAACUGGGCGUUAAGUUGCAGGGUAUAGACCCGAAACCCGGUGAUCUAGCCAUGGGCAGGUUGAAGGUUGGGUAACACUAACUGGAGGACCGAACCGACUAAUGUUGAAAAAUUAGCGGAUGACUUGUGGCUGGGGGUGAAAGGCCAAUCAAACCGGGAGAUAGCUGGUUCUCCCCGAAAGCUAUUUAGGUAGCGCCUCGUGAACUCAUCUUCGGGGGUAGAGCACUGUUUCGGCUAGGGGGUCAUCCCGACUUACCAACCCGAUGCAAACUACGAAUACCGAAGAAUGUUAUCACGGGAGACACACGGCGGGUGCUAACGUCCGUCGUGAAGAGGGAAACAACCCAGACCGCCAGCUAAGGUCCCAAAGUCAUGGUUAAGUGGGAAACGAUGUGGGAAGGCACAGACAGCCAGGAUGUUGGCUUAGAAGCAGCCAUCAUUUAAAGAAAGCGUAAUAGCUCACUGGUCGAGUCGGCCUGCGCGGAAGAUGUAACGGGGCUAAACCAUGCACCGAAGCUGCGGCAGCGACACUAUGUGUUGUUGGGUAGGGGAGCGUUCUGUAAGCCUGCGAAGGUGACCUGUGAGGGUUGCUGGAGGUAUCAGAAGUGCGAAUGCUGACAUAAGUAACGAUAAAGCGGGUGAAAAGCCCGCUCGCCGGAAGACCAAGGGUUCCUGUCCAACGUUAAUCGGGGCAGGGUGAGUCGACCCCUAAGGCGAGGCCGAAAGGCGUAGUCGAUGGGAAACAGGUUAAUAUUCCUGUACUUGGUGUUACUGCGAAGGGGGGACGGAGAAGGCUAUGUUAGCCGGGCGACGGUUGUCCCGGUUUAAGCAUGUAGGCUGAUUGUCCAGGCAAAUCCGGAUAAUCAAGGCUGAGGUGUGAUGACGAGGCACUACGGUGCUGAAGUAACAAAUGCCCUGCUUCCAGGAAAAGCCUCUAAGCAUCAGGUAACAUCAAAUCGUACCCCAAACCGACACAGGUGGUCAGGUAGAGAAUACCAAGGCGCUUGAGAGAACUCGGGUGAAGGAACUAGGCAAAAUGGUGCCGUAACUUCGGGAGAAGGCACGCUGGUGUGUAGGUGAAGUCCCUGCGGAUGGAGCUGAGACCAGUCGAAGAUACCAGCUGGCUGCAACUGUUUAUUAAAAACACAGCACUGUGCAAACACGAAAGUGGACGUAUACGGUGUGACGCCUGCCCGGUGCCGGAAGGUUAAUUGAUGGGGUUAUCCGUAAGGAGAAGCUCUUGAUCGAAGCCCCGGUAAACGGCGGCCGUAACUAUAACGGUCCUAAGGUAGCGAAAUUCCUUGUCGGGUAAGUUCCGACCUGCACGAAUGGCGUAAUGAUGGCCAGGCUGUCUCCACCCGAGACUCAGUGAAAUUGAACUCGCUGUAAAGAUGCAGUGUACCCGCGGCAAGACGGAAAGACCCCGUGAACCUUUACUAUAGCUUGACACUGAACAUUGAGCCUUGAUGUGUAGGAUAGGUGGGAGGCUUUGAAGCGUGGACGCCAGUCUGCGUGGAGCCAACCUUGAAAUACCACCCUUUAAUGUUUGAUGUUCUAACGUUGGCCCCUUACCGGGGUUGCGGACAGUGUCUGGUGGGUAGUUUGACUGGGGCGGUCUCCUCCCAAAGCGUAACGGAGGAGCACGAAGGUUAGCUAAUCCUGGUCGGACAUCAGGAGGUUAGUGCAAUGGCAUAAGCUAGCUUGACUGCGAGCGUGACGGCGCGAGCAGGUGCGAAAGCAGGUCAUAGUGAUCCGGUGGUUCUGAAUGGAAGGGCCAUCGCUCAACGGAUAAAAGGUACUCCGGGGAUAACAGGCUGAUACCGCCCAAGAGUUCAUAUCGACGGCGGUGUUUGGCACCUCGAUGUCGGCUCAUCACAUCCUGGGGCUGAAGUAGGUCCCAAGGGUAUGGCUGUUCGCCAUUUAAAGUGGUACGCGAGCUGGGUUUAGAACGUCGUGAGACAGUUCGGUCCCUAUCUGCCGUGGGCGCUGGAGAAUUGAGGGGGGCUGCUCCUAGUACGAGAGGACCGGAGUGGACGCAUCACUGGUGUUCGGGUUGUCAUGCCAAUGGCACUGCCCGGUAGCUAAAUGCGGAAGAGAUAAGUGCUGAAAGCAUCUAAGCACGAAACUUGCCCCGAGAUGAGUUCUCCCUGAGACUUUAAGUCUCCUGAAGGAACGUUGAAGACGACGACGUUGAUAGGCCGGGUGUGUAAGCGCAGCGAUGCGUUGAGCUAACCGGUACUAAUGAACCGUGAGGCUUAACCUU